GCGAGGAGGAGGAGCGGGAAGGUGAACGACUCAGGGCAGGAUGGCAUCGUUGCAGGAUGUGCCCCGUGCCCACCAGAGGGAGUAUGAAAACCAUGUGGAGAACAUUGACAGUUCAAAGAUAACUGCCCAGGAAUGAGAGAAGCCUUCAGAUGCUGCUAUGAGUUACAAAUUCUACAGGGGCAUGAAAACAUACAUAGAGAACUUAGUAAACUGUUUCAAUGAAAAAGUACGCGUGUUUUCCUUCCCUUCGCUGCCACCCAUUUCUUUAAGAUGAUGAACCUGCAUUCUCUCAAGGCAAAAAUGAGAUUUCUUAUUUGGAAUUGAUGAUGAGAGAUGACCAGUUAUGAGUCAAUUCUAUCAGAAACUUGAGUGUCACAGGAAACAAAGGAGGAACAGACCACCCCUCACAGUAACCUAAAAUGAUUAAGCUGAAAUACAUAACUGAGCUCGAAUCUGCUGUACGUGCACUUCUCCAGCAGCGAGCCGUGUCGGUACUGAAGCGAAGGCAAGAUGAGCUGGAAACGGAAUCUACUUAUAUGCAGCAUCUGACAAGUUAGUAUGG